rnacentral:rRNA from 1 species
UUGACCUCAAAUCAGGUAGGACUACCCGCUGAACUUAAGCAUAUCAAUAAGCGGAGGAAAAGAAACUAACAAGGAUUCCCCUAGUAACUGCGAGUGAAGCGGGAAAAGCUCAAAUUUGAAAUCUGACAGAGUAUUGUCUGUCCGAGUUGUAACCUAGAGAAGUGUGACCUGUGCUGGACCGUGUACAAGUCUCCUGGAAUGGAGCAUCACAGAGGGUGAGAAUCCCGUCUUUGACAUGGACUACCAGUGCAAGUGUGGUCAUACACUCAACGAGUCGAGUUGUUUGGGAAUGCAGCUCUAAAUGGGUGGUAAAUUCCAUCUAAAGCUAAAUAUUGGCGAGAGACCGAUAGUGAACAAGUACCGUGAGGGAAA